UGCGGGGGGGCAAGCGUUGUUCGGAAUUACUGGGCGUAAAGGGUUUGUAGGUGGCCGAUUAAGUCAUACGUGAAAUCCCUCAGCUUAACUGGGGAACUGCGUCUGAUACUGGUUGGCUUGAGUGCAGGAGAGGAACGCGGAAUUCCAGGUGUAGCGGUGAAAUGCGUAGAUAUCCGGAGGAACACCGGUGGCGAAGGCGGCUCCUGGACCGACACUGACGCUGAGGCGCGAAAGCUAGGGGAGCAAACGGG
rnacentral:rRNA from 1 species